ACGAAUGGGGGGGGCCUAAACAUGCAAGCCGAGCGGUAGAAGUCCUUCGGGACUUUGAGAGCGGCGUACGGGUGCGUAACACGUGUGCAACCUACCUUUAUCAGGGGAAUAGCCUUUCGAAAGGAAGAUUAAUACCCCAUAAUAUAUUGAAUGGCAUCAUUUGAUAUUGAAAACUCCGGUGGAUAGAGAUGGGCACGCGCAAGAUUAGAUAGUUGGUGAGGUAACGGCUCACCAAGUCAAUGAUCUUUAGGGGUCCUGAGAGGGAGAUCCCCCACACUGGUACUGAGACACGGACCAGACUCCUACGGGAGGCAGCAGUGAGGAAUAUUGGACAAUGGGUGAGAGCCUGAUCCAGCCAUCCCGCGUGAAGGAUGACGGUCCUAUGGAUUGUAAACUUCUUUUGUAUAGGAAUAAACCUACUCUCGUGAGAGUAGCUGAAGGUACUAUACGAAUAAGCACCGGCUAACUCCGUGCCAGCAGCCGCGGUAAUACGGAGGGUGCAAGCGUUAUCCGGAUUUAUUGGGUUUAAAGGGUCCGUAGGCGGACCGAUAAGUCAGUGGUGAAAUCUCAUAGCUUAACUAUGAAACUGCCGUUGAUACUGUCGGUCUUGAGUAAAUUUGAAGUGGCUGGAAUAAGUAGUGUAGCGGUGAAAUGCAUAGAUAUUACUUAGAACACCAAUUGCGAAGGCAGGUCACUAAGAUUUAACUGACGCUGAGGGACGAAAGCGUGGGGAGCGAACAGGAUUAGAUACCCUGGUAGUCCACGCCGUAAACGAUGCUAACUCGUUUUUGGGGCGCAAGCUUCAGAGACCAAGCGAAAGUGAUAAGUUAGCCACCUGGGGAGUACGUCCGCAAGGAUGAAACUCAAGGAAUUGACGGGGGCCCGCACAAGCGGUGGAUUAUGUGGUUUAAUUCGAUGAUACGCGAGGAACCUUACCAAGACUUAAAUGGGAAAUGACAGGUUUAGAAAUAGACCCUUCUUCGGACAUUUCCAAGGUGCUG
rnacentral:rRNA from 1 species